CUACGGGGCGCUGCAGUGAGGAAUUUUGCGCAAUGGGGGGAACCCUGACGCAGCAACGCCGCGUGAGUGAUGAAGGCUUUCGGGUCGUAAAGCUCUGUCAAGUGGGAAGAACCUAUGCAGUGUUAAUAUCACUGUAUACUGACGGUACCACUGAAGGAAGCACCGGCUAACUCCGUGCCAGCAGCCGCGGUAAUACGGGGGGUGCAAGCGUUAUUCGGAAUCAUUGGGCGUAAAGGGCACGUAGGCGGCUUGGUAAGUCAGAUGUGAAAGCCCGGGGCUUAACCCCGGAAGUGCAUUUGAUACUGUCAGGCUUGAGUAUGGGAGAGGGAAGUGGAAUUCCUGGUGUAGAGGUGAAAUUCGUAGAUAUCAGGAGGAACACCGGUGGCGAAGGCGACUUCCUGGACCAAUACUGACGCUGAGGUGCGAAGGCGUGGGUAGCAAACAGGAUUAGAUACCCGGGUAGUC
rnacentral:rRNA from 1 species